rnacentral:rRNA from 1 species
GCCCUGGAAACGGGGUCUAAUACCGGAUACRACCUUCCCCUGCAUGGGGGUGGGUGGAAAGCUCCGGCGGUGCAGGAUGAGCCCGCGGCCUAUCAGCUUGUUGGUGGGGUAAUGGCCUACCAAGGCGACGACGGGUAGCCGGCCUGAGAGGGCGACCGGCCACACUGGGACUGAGACACGGCCCASACUCCUACGGGAGGCAGCAGUGGGGAAUAUUGCACAAUGGGCGAAAGCCUGAUGCASCGACGCCSCGUGAGGGAUGACGGCCUUCGGGUUGUAAACCUCUUUCASCAGGGAAGAARCGCAAGUGACGGUACCUGCAGAARAAGCACCGGCUAACUACGUGCCANCAGCCGCGGUAAUACGUAGGGUGCGAGCGUUGUCCGGAAUUAUUGGGCGUAAAGAGCUCGUAGGCGGCCUGUCGCGUCGGAUGUGAAAGCCCGGGGCUUAACCCCGGGUCUGCAUUCGAUACGGGCAGGCUGGAGUGUGGUAGGGGAGAU